GCCUGGGUGGCUCAGUCGGUUGAGCGUCGGACUUCAGCUCAGGUCACGAUCUCACGGUUUGUGAGUUCGAGCCCCAUGUCAGGCU
rnacentral:tRNA from 1 species